rnacentral:rRNA from 1 species
GGUCCUGCGGAAGGAUCAUUACCUAGAGUUGUAGGCUUUGCCUGCUAUCUCUUACCCAUGUCUUUUAAGUACCUUACGUUUCCUCGGCGGGUCCGCCCGCCGAUUGGACAAUUUAAACCAUUUGCAGUUGCAAUCAGCGUCUGAAAAAACUUAAUAGUUACAACUUUCAACAACGGAUCUCUUGGUUCUGGCAUCGAUGAAGAACGCAGCGAAAUGCGAUAAGUAGUGUGAAUUGCAGAAUUCAGUGAAUCAUCGAAUCUUUGAACGCACAUUGCGCCCCUUGGUAUUCCAUGGGGCAUGCCUGUUCGAGCGUCAUUUGUACCUUCAAGCUCUGCUUGGUGUUGGGUGUUUGUCUCGCCUCUGCGUGUAGACUCGCCUCAAAACAAUUGGCAGCCGGCGUAUUGAUUUCGGAGCGCAGUACAUCUCGCGCUUUGCACUCAUAACGACGACGUCCAAAAGUACAUUUUUACACUCUGACCUCGGAUCAGGUAGGAGACGAAUUG